rnacentral:rRNA from 1 species
UACAGAGGUCCCAAGCGUUGUUCGGAUUCACUGGGCGUAAAGGGUGCGUAGGUGGUGAGGUAAGUUUGAUGUGAAAUCUCCGGGCUCAACCCGGAAAUGGCAUUGAAUACUAUCUUGCUAGAGGAGUGGAGGGGGGACUGGAAUACUUGGUGUAGCAGUGAAAUGCGUAGAUAUCAAGUGGAACACCAGUGGCGAAGGCGAGUCCCUGGACACUUCCUGACACUGAGACGCGAAAGCGUGGGGAGCGAACAGG